rnacentral:rRNA from 1 species
CCUACGGGAGGCAGCAGUGGGGAAUUGUUCGCAAUGGGCGCAAGCCUGACGACGCAACGCCGCGUGGAGGAUGAAGACCUUCGGGUCGUAAACUCCUUUCGAUCGAGACGAACGGCUUCCGGGUGAACAAUCCGGAAGAGUGACGGUACCGAGAGAAGAAGCCCCGGCUAACUCCGUGCCAGCAGCCGCGGUAAUACGGGGGGGGCAAGCGUUGUUCGGAAUUACUGGGCGUAAAGGGCUCGUAGGCGGCCAACUAAGUCAGACGUGAAAUCCCUCGGCUUAACCGGGGAACUGCGUCUGAUACUGGAUGGCUUGAGGUUGGGAGAGGGAUGCGGAAUUCCAGGUGUAGCGGUGAAAUGCGUAGAUAUCUGGAGGAACACCGGUGGCGAAGGCGGCAUCCUGGACCAAUUCUGACGCUGAGGAGCGAAAGCCAGGGGAGCAAACGGGAUUAGAUACCCCGGUAGUCCUGGCCCUAAACGAUGAAUGCUUGGUGUGGCGGGUAUCGAUCCCUGCCGUGCCGAAGCUAACGCAUAAGCNUCUCGUGGNGUACGCGCGAGNGNGAACUAACUAAUAGUUAGUUAGUGNGUUGAGAGNGCGAGGCGACGACGAGGAGAGG